rnacentral:rRNA from 1 species
GAGGAAGUAAAAGUCGUAACAAGGUUUCCGUAGGUGAACCUGCGGAAGGAUCAUUAUCGUACAAAAUGUGAGAGGGGCAUGCGAGGGCUGUCGCUGACUCAAAGUCGUGCACGCCCGAGUGUGUCGCCUCACAUAAUAAUCCAUCUCACCCUUUGUGCAUCACCGCGUGGGCACCCCUUUGGGAUCAUCUCGGAGGGGGCUCGCGUUUUCACACAAAACCCCCCUUUUAAAAGUGUAGAAUGACCUCAUUUAUGCGCUAACCCGCAAUCAAUACAACUUUCAACAACGGAUCUCUUGGCUCUCGCAUCGAUGAAGAACGCAGCGAAAUGCGAUACGUAAUGUGAAUUGCAGAAUUCAGUGAAUCAUCGAAUCUUUGAACGCACCUUGCGCCCCCUGGUAUUCCGAGGGGCACACCCGUUUGAGUGUCGUGAAAACCUCAACCUCCUUGGUUUCUUCUGGAGACCAAAGCAGGCUUGGACUUUGGAGGCCUUUGCUGGCACCUCUCGCCAGCUCCUCUUAAAUGAAUUAGCAGGGUCCUCUUUGCUGAUCCUCGACGUGUGAUAAGAUGUUUCCAUGUCUUGGUUUCUGGCUCUGUCACCUUUGGGACCCGCUUCUAACCGUCUUCAACCUUGCGUUGAGACAACGUUCGAGCAUGUCUCCCUUCUCGGGAAGCUCCCUCGACCCCACGAACCCUUGACCUCAAAUCGGGUGAGACUACCCGCUGAACUUAAGCAUAUCAAUAAGCGGAGGAAAAGAAACUAACAAGGAUUCCCCUAGUAACUGCGAGUGAAGCGGGAAA